AGAGAGAGCAGGAGAAUGAACACGGGGGAGACGCAGAGAAGCAACAGAGGCAUGACUGAUAAGGGCAGAGGAGGAAAGAAGGUCUCAGAGACCAGGGCAUGAAUGUAGUUGGACAGAGACAGGGAGAAGGAUGGGGAGAAAUGAGGAGCAGGAAGAAGAUUCCGAGAGAAAUAAAGAGGCCGAGAGGAGCUGAGCCAGGCAGCCGGUGGAGCAGGCAGAUGGAACAACAGAGACAAAGAACAGAGCCACGGAGUGGGCACACAGCAAGGCCUGGCAGCCAAGCCCUGUGGGUUUGGUGGGAGCAGAUGCUUAUAUGGGAGCAGCAGCUGAUGGCCCCCAGCACGUGCAUCCUUGUUGACUCCAGGCCCAGCACAGCCUCCUCGGCAGCCGGCCUUAGCCUGGAGGAGCAACCGUGGUCCAGAGAGGCAGACGAAUGGCGGCCCUGCCCCGUGGGGGCUCCAGUUCUUCUCCAUCCUCCUCCAGGCUCCGCCCACCUGCUCCGUCUGCAUCCCAGGGCCUCGUGAAUCCCAGGGAAGCCAUGAGCUGCCACAUCACGCCCGGAAGGAAGCAGGCUGCGUUGGAGGGUAAAAGACGCACCAGCAACUUAGAAUUCGGGGCACUGCAGAGCUGGAAGGGGCCUCAGCGCUGCUCCCUCCGCCCCCUCAUUUCACAAACCAGAAAGCUGAGACCCAAAGCAAGGAAGGGACUCGGCCAAGUUGAAGAGAUGAAGGCGCAGAGGCAUGAACUCCCAUAACCAGAGAGUGUGAGCUGGACUCUACCUGGAGCAGCCUGGGUGCAGAGCCCAUGCCCCCAACCAUGUCCAUGGCCAAGGCCCAGCCCAGACAGGGCACAAAGGGGCUGAGGAAGAGGAAGUAAGAUGCCAGGGUUGCCAUGCAGGAAGGCAGCCCCGAGUGAGAUGGGCAUCGUGGCCUAGGGCCCACCUUCUGGAAGAGCUCAUCAGAACUUCGGACACACUACAUGGGCCUAGACCCAGGGCUCGUUGAGCCCCUCCCUCGGAUUGGCGUCGAAUUUUAGGUGAAUCCGCUCUAGCUGCCACAUUUACCCUUGUAAGCCUACACUUUGUCGUCUUCUGAAAAGGUGCAGGAACAUGAUGCCCAGCUGACUCCCAGGGAGCGGGAGCCCCAGAGGCCAGCGGAGCACAGCCGCAGCAGGCAGAUCUGUUGGGAAACCACGGGAGUAUAGGAGCAGGGCUGGGGGCACCUGAGGGCCUGUGGAGCCCGAGUUAUUGAAACGCUUAGAGUAAAGCAGAUUUAGAUUUCACAAAGACAGAGGUGAAGGUGGGUGAAGACGGAGGGAAGGAUUUAAAGGGAAAGAGAAAGAGAAAAGAUAGGAAUGAGGGAGAAAGAGGAAGAGAGAAAGAAAAAGAGAAAUAGAGUUAUCGAAGAUGACUGCCAGACUGGCGUCUCUCAACUCAAGGAGCCAAGGAGGGGAAGGCCGGUCUGAGCAGCAAUGUAGACAAGAGCUCAGGAGCUCAGGCGGGCAAGAACAGAGCCCUGGCUUCAGCAAGAGCGUGGGGAACAGAGGGCAAGGGGGUCCAUGCAGCCCAGGAUGGCAGGGUGCUCAUACACACAGCCUUGGUCCUGUCCCCUCUCCCAUUGCCACUUUUGAGCUCACCUUGUUUAAGACCAAAGCACACGCCAUCCUCCCACAGAGCCACUAAUGCAAUUAACAAAACACAUUCAUAAAUCUUGCAUGGCGUCCGGAGCUGUCUCCUCUCCCUAAGCACAAGGGCCAGCUCCGGAGAUGCUGUGCAGAGAGCUGUCUGACCUCUCCAGCGUCAGGGCCCCCUGAAAAACGCAGCAUAACCCUUAGUAGGACAGAAAGACCAUUCUCUUCUGCCAACCAUUACAAAGUGGAGUGGGGCUGGGGUCAGGAAACACAGACAAAUCAGAAGAGGCUGAGAAGGCGGAGAUGAAAGUGCAUACGCGUUUGCAGGGAGCUGGGGAAUAGUUCGUGCCUUCCAAGCUCAACAAGAGAGCAUUCAGCAGAGACCAGAGAAUCACCACUUUUGGAGGGUGAUUUUACCUUGUGAGAACAGAGCACAGGGUGCGUGGGACCCAGGGCAUCUUCGGCAAUGCAGGCAUGACUUGGCGGGAUGUCAGUGUUUGUGUUUGCAUGUGUGUGUACGUGCGUGCGUGCAUGCUCAGUCUGGAAAACUGGUGACUCACUAAAACACGGAGCUUUCUGAUCUGAA
rnacentral:lncRNA from 1 species